AGUCUGACAACAAAGGUAGCCAAGCUAUUGGCAUCAGUAAACACCCAGAAGCUCAUUUGGACGACAUAUCUAAUAUAUCAUUCAAAGAAAGUUUCCCAAGUUAAUAUAUUAUACAACAAAAAUGUCCGGGCUCUUGUUUUACAUAAUUUUUGCGCUUACCGUGGCAAUGGCCAAUGUCGGUUCGACUGUUAUACCGGCAUACAUGAAGAGUAUGGCUUGUGCAGACUGUGACAGUACCAAGGACUGCCGGAUUGAAUCGGAAGGAUUUUAUUGUCCAAUGCUGUUCGACAGAAUUCAGAUUCAUUACAGUCAGGACGGAAAUUUAUCGAAGGGCUUAGGAUAUUUGACGGAGUGCAUUGGACCAUAUUAUUAUUUUUACAACAAAAAGGCAAUCAGCCAAAUGUGUUGCUUCUGGUCACCCCAGAUGGGUUGUAAGCAACUAAUAAAUAGAAACUUUAAUACGAUGGGUUGCUCGGCUUGCGCCAAAUGGGCCUGGAGUUCUGAUGGCGAUCCACUGGGCUGUCCGUGCCAUGAAUUUGGAGGAAGCAUGAGAAAAAAGAGAAAGAGAAAGGAUGCCGGUACAAAACUCCAUCAUUUUGGCGUCGUUCCUAUGAUUUUGAUCCUUUUUGUGCAGCAAAUAUUUUCGCCAUUUCAUGAAUUUGGGAGGCAAAUGUAAAAGCUCUAAAACUAACCAGGCUAUGACAAAUCGGAUAUUUUUUAAACAUUUGACACACGAAUGAUGGUUCAUUACACAAAUUUCUUCAAAUGCAGUCUUGUCGAAUUGCAUCAUACUGAUUGAUAGUUGCUAUUCCAUGGCUUUAUGCAUACAUUUUAGUCAGCUCACGGGUGGAACAUCCGAUAUUUUGUAUACAUCUGACACAAAAAUGAUGGUGGUUAUGUUUAUGUUCUGCAAAAUGUUCUAAGUUAAACAAAAAAAAAUUUUCGAAAUCAAAAAAAAAAAUAGUAAAUCGAGAACGAUAUGGAACAGAAAUGAUGAAUGGAUCGAUGCAAUGGAUUGAUACUUAAAUAAGUACUAAGUGAAGCGGAAAAAGAGUCUAUUCCUAUGAUGUUUGGGUCAUAGGACGGGACGGCACACAAUCACAAUCCAACUAAAACGAAUGCUUCGAGCUGAUUUUCAUUCAUCAGGAAAUCUUUUGCUUUUUCGUUCUCCAAUUUUGGCAAUAAACAUUAAGAA